ACUCCUACGGGAGGCAGCAGUGAGGAAUCUUGCGCAAUGGGGGCAACCCUGACGCAGCCACGCCGCGUGCUGGAAGACGGCCCUAUGGGUUGUAAACAGCUUUUGGGUGGGAAGAACCUGGGCUUUCGAGCCCCACNGCGGUACCACCAGAAUAAGCACCGGCUAACUCCGUGCCAGCAGCCGCGGUAAUACGGAGGGUGCAAGCGUUGUCCGGAAUUAUUGGGUGUAAAGGGUGCGCAGGCGGAAGCCUAAGUCGAGGGUGAAAGACGGCCGCUCAACGGCCGCAGUGCCUUCGAUACUGGGUUUCUUGAGUCCGGAAGAGGUUAGUGGAAUUCGUGGUGUAGCGGUGAAAUGCAUAGAGAUCACGAAGAACACCAGUGGCGAAGGC
rnacentral:rRNA from 1 species